GAUGAACGCUAGCGGCAGGCCUAAUACAUGCAAGUCGAACGGUCAGCAAUGACAGUGGCGAACGGGUGCGUAACGCGUAAGGAACCUGCCCUUCACUGGGGGAUAGCUUUGCGAAAGCGAAGGUAAACCCGCAUGGUUCUGUGGGAUCGCAUGGUUUUACAGAUAAAUAUUUAUAGGUGAAGGAGGGUCUUGCGUCGGAUUAGUUAGUUGGCAGGGUAACGGCCUACCAAGACGAUGAUCCGUAGGGGCUCUGAGAGGAGCGGCCCCCACAUGGACACUGAGACACGGGUCCAACUCCUACGGGAGGCAGCAGUAGGGAAUAUUGGGCAAUGGCCGGAAGGCUGACCCAGCCAUGCCGCGUGGAGGAAGACGGCCCUCUGGGUUGUAAACUCCUUUUAUCGGGGAAGAACAGCACUCUUGCGAGGGUGUGUGACGGUACUCGAGGAAUAAGCACCGGCUAACUCCGUGCCAGCAGCCGCGGUAAUACGGAGGGUGCAAGCGUUGUCCGGAUUUAUUGGGUUUAAAGGGUGCGUAGGUGGUCUGAUAAGUCUGGUUUGAAAGUUGGUCGCUUAACGAUCAAGGGUGGCUGGAUACUGUUGGACUUGAAUGGGGUGGCGGUAGCCGGAAUGGGUUGUGUAGCGGUGAAAUGCAUAGAGAUGACCCGGAACACCGAUUGCGAAGGCAGGCUACUACG
rnacentral:rRNA from 1 species